UUCCGGUUGAUCCUGCCGGAGGUCACUGCUAUCAGUGUUCGACUAAGCCAUGCAAGUCAAAUGUUCUUCGUGAACAUGGCGGACUGCUCAGUAACACGUGGAUAACCUGCCCUUAGGAUUGGCAUAACACCGGGAAACUGGUGAUAAUACCGGAUAGACCAUUUAUGCUGGAAUGCUUUUUGGUUCAAAGGCUUCGGCUGCCUAAGGAUGGAUCUGCGGCCUAUCAGGUAGUAGUGGGUGUAAUGUACCUACUAGCCUACGACGGGUACGGGUUGUGAGAGCAAGAGCCCGGAGAUGGAUUCUGAGACAUGAAUCCAGGCCCUACGGGGCGCAGCAGGCGCGAAAACUUUACAAUGCGGGAAACCGCGAUAAGGGGACACUGAGUGCCAGCAUAUUAUGUUGGCUGUCCACAUGUAUAAAAACCAUGUGUUAGCAAGGGCCGGGCAAGACCGGUGCCAGCCGCCGCGGUAACACCGGCGGCCCGAGUGGUAGCCGUUUUUAUUGGGUCUAAAGGGUCCGUAGCCGGCUUGAUAAGUCUUUUGGGAAAUCUGACAGCUUAACUGUCAGGCUUCUAAGGGAUACUGUCAGGCUUGGGACCGGAAGAGGUAAGGGGUACUCCAGGGGUAGGAGUGAAAUCUUGUAAUCCCUGGGGGACCAUCUGUGGCGAAGGCGCCUUACCAGAACGGGUCCGACGGUGAGGGACGAAAGCUAGGGGAGCAAACCGGAUUAGAUACCCGGGUAGUCCUAGCUGUAAACGAUGCUCGCUAGGUGUCAGACACGGUGCGACCGUGUUUGGUGCCGCAGGGAAGCCGUUAAGCGAGCCACCUGGGAAGUACGGUCGCAAGGCUGAAACUUAAAGGAAUUGGCGGGGGAGCACUACAACGGGUGGAGCCUGCGGUUUAAUUGGAAUCAACGCCGGU
rnacentral:rRNA from 1 species